CGCCCUUUCCUCCUCCAUUGAGCCCGGGCACCCCCUUUGGCCGAAACCCUAGCCCCUUUUUGCCCCUCCACCAGAGCCGUCACCACCUGCAUUGUUGCCGCCAGCGAGCUUCGAUUCAUCAUCUCCGGCACCCCGGCGGAGCCCCGUCGCCACCACCGCUGGACACCGUCGCGCCGCCCGUCCGCCGCCGCUCCCCGUCCGCGCCGCCGCCAGUGAGGUUCGCCGGCCACUCCCCUCCCUUGUGCACGUGCCUGUGAUCCUAGUACUCCUCUCCUUGGGCGGCAACACUGAAGCACGGCAGCUCUGUGCAUGCGCCGUGGGUCUGUUUGUGGACAUGAAGAAGAUGAACAGUGGUAGAAGCUAAUAACAAUCCUUGCUGUACUUGUGUGUGUUUGAGUUUGCAAAAAUCAUAGAAAAAUAUGUAUAGCUCCAAAAAUUAUGAAACUUAUUUUGUUGGAUUCCUCUA